CUGCACAACGUGAACCAUUCUCGGAAAGCCGCCAUCUUGCAAAGCGCGCGAGAACUUGCAGGUCAAGCAUCGCGAGAGGGAAGACCGCAAUGCGCCUGCGUUACGAUUCUCCCCCCCUCCCUCGCCCUUUCUCUCUCUCUCUCUCUCUCUCCCCCCCUCCUCUCCCAUGCGCCGUACUCCCAGCGGUACGCAAGCGCAGUUGUGCCUUCUGCGGUGCAGGAAACCCUGCAGCGCUCCCUGUUGGAAAGCGAAUGCGACGCAAGCGUUAUAGAGUACAUGGGCCAGAUAGGUCUAGGGAGCUUUAACGUUGGAUGAAGUUCAAAAUUCAACAUGGGUUCAGGAAAAGGUCAUUUGAGGUUUCUGCACUUCAAGCCAGCCAGGUUCAUGUUUUGAAUAUUGGGGAAGAGUUUCUUUAAUCACAAGAAAUUCCAGCUUCCUUUGAGUUUCAACUUUCCUGCAGUGAGCAUGGAUUCCUAAGGAAGGGUACCAUCCUGGGAAGGAACAAAAGCAGCAACAACAGCUCUGCUUGAAUAAAGCCAACAACAUGAAAACAUUCCUCUCCCAGGUUCCUGAAGAUUGUAGGCAGCCUAAGAGAAUUCUCACAACUAGAACCAAAGUGACAAGCUGUUUGAAGCCUAGAUCAUACUUUUUCAAUUGUUUUUUUUUUUCACCUUCAAGAGCCACAGAAGACAAGGUGGUAACAAGCUGAAGCCAUUAGAGGGCAGCACCCAAUUUUACCCUUUGCAUCAUUUAGGUUUUGAGAAGUUCUGUAAAACUGGCACUUUCCAACUGUCAGAGGCUUAAGAGCUCUACUCUAUUGGUAUUUUGGGGGUGAGGUGGGGAGUGACAAUUAUGUCUCUGCUAUUCAACUGUUUGCCCUCAUGAGAAAUUAGGAAGGUAUCAAAAAGAUACGGGAAUUCAUAGGGACUGAAAACUGAUUUCCUCUUAUGGUGAAGUUGGUGAGUGACUUUGUGGCUAGAACUAAACACCCCUUAACAGACUUACUAUUAGCUUACUUUCCCGACUAUCACAUAGGGUGAAUGAUAAUUUUUUUGGCUUAACAUUUUUAUUGAGUUAUAAGAUAAAAUAAGAUACAAAAUAUAAAAGAAAAUAGGAGAACAGUGGGGAGGAAGAGGGGGAAGAGAAGUGAGGAAGAGAAGUAGGGAAAAAAAUAGCAAGUAAUAGUAAGGUGAGCAAGGUUUGUGCAGUAAGAAGUGCACAUUAUUUUUGAGUAGCUAGUUGGAAAAACAUGUUCCUGCCUUGUACAAUUGAGUAGAAGAGAACUAGAGUCAUGGCAGCAGGCAACUUUUGAGGGAUGGCUCAUAAAAUAACAGCAUGCAUUGCAUUUUCUAUUGAAUCCCAAGACAUAAAACAGUAUAUACAAGUAGUCCUCGAUUUACAACCAUUUGCUUACUGACAGUUUGACGUUACAAUGGCACUGAAAAAAGUAACUUAUGACUGUCACAGCUUCUCCAUGGUCACGUGAUCAAAAUUCAGAUGCUUGGCAACUGGCAUGUAUUGACGAUGGCUGUCCUGUCCUGAGGUCAUGUAAUCAUUUUUUGUGAUCUUCUGACAAUCAAAAGUCAAUGGGGAAGCCAGAUGCAUUUAACUGACUUAAAAGCUCAAUGAUUAAUUUAACAACAGUGGCAAGAAAGGUUGCAAAAUGAGACUAAAUUCACUUAAGAAAUGCCUUGCUUAGCAAUGGAAAUUUUGUGCUCAAUUGUUGUUGUAAGUUGAGGACUACUUGUACCUAUAUACUAAGAUACAAUCUUUUAGUAGAUGGGGUACUAUGUUUGACUUAGUGUUAAAUAUUUCUGUUUAAAACAAAGCAACAUGACCCCUGAUAUACGGUAUUUAGUUUUGCUUCUAAAUCCUGGGGGAGGGUAUUAAAAUGGGGUAUUUCGACUCCAGGCAACCUCCUCUCCAAAAAGCAAGUCAAGAAUUUGGACAUAAUUCAUAGAAAGUGAAAUUUCACUAUCUUUGAAACAUGGAACAGCUGUUUAUCAUCAGGGUAGAUUUAUCUGGACUCCAUGUAUAAUCAGUUAGAUGCAAAUAAUCAUCAGAAAUAGUCCUGCAUUCCUUGAAAAUAACAUCCAUAUCCUCUUAUAUUCUUCAGAAAUUCCUUUUCCAUUUUGUUCUUCUUUGUCUCUUUCAGACCUUCAAUCUAAGAUAAGCCAAAAAUGUGCAGAAUUUGAGGACAUAAAUUACAAGCAGAUUACAUUAGCAAGUAUUAGCUAAGGAUUUAUCUCUUUCUUUCAUGCACAUCAAAGGCAUCAAAGGGAAGAGAAAUGUUGGGAGAUGGACUCAAAUGUGGCCAGCUUAAUUUGGCAAUUCUCUAUUCGCUGGGUUGGUGGUGCCCACAAACUUGGCAGUUUUAAAAAUGGAUUAGGUAAAUUCAUGGAGAAGACAAAGGCUGUAGGUGAUCUCCAGGACAGGAGUCAUGAUUUGCCUCGACAUUUGAGAAGACAUCUUUCUUCUUUUCUUCUUAAAAGAAAUCUUAAUUAUUUUGAUUCUGUAUCUUCAGAAUGACAUGCAAUUCUGAAUUCUGGAAAACCAAGUCUACCAGAUACCGCUAAUUGCUUCUCUUGUUAUGAGCUUUCAGAAGGACAUAAUUCAUCUCAGUUUUAACUUUUCCCUUUCAGCUCCUGCCCUAACUUCUUUUUGUUGGCACUGUUUCAUAGUUCCAUUGUUUCUUUUUCUGAGUCACUCAUUCCUUGCCCUCUGGUUGCUUUUAAUUCUGCCAUCCUUAAUUCUUCUUUCUCUUUUUCUUUCCCUUAUACACCACUUAGUGAAAGCUCAAUGGAUUUAUAAAUGGAUUUUCAUAUAUAAAUUAUCAUGGUGGAUCUCAACCAGGCCGAAAUUUGCAACAUCAUGGUAAAGCAUGUAGAUUUUCAUGGAAAUCAUUCUCAUUAUGGUUAAAGAAUGUUAUAUUUUGGAAUAAAUGUACACACUA